AACGAACGCUGGCGGCAUGCCUAACACAUGCAAGUCGAACGAGACCUUCGGGUCUAGUGGCGCACGGGUGCGUAACGCGUGGGAACCUGCCCUUAGGUUCGGAAUAACUCCCCGAAAGGGGUGCUAUUACCGGAUAAUGUCUUCGGACCAAAGAUUUAUCGCCUUUGGAUGGGCCCGCGUUGGAUUAGCUAGUUGGUAGGGUAAAAGCCUACCAAGGCGACGAUCCAUAGCUGGUCUGAGAGGAUGAUCAGCCACACUGGGACUGAGACACGGCCCAGACUCCUACGGGAGGCAGCAGUGGGGAAUAUUGGACAAUGGGCGAAAGCCUGAUCCAGCAAUGCCGCGUGAGUGAUGAAGGCCUUAGGGUUGUAAAGCUCCUUUACCCGGGAUGAUAAUGACAGUACCGGGAGAAUAAGCUCCGGCUAACUCCGUG
rnacentral:rRNA from 1 species